rnacentral:rRNA from 1 species
CCGGAGCUAAUACCGAUAAUAUAUUGAACCGCAUGGUUCAAUAGUGAAAGACGGUUUUGCUGUCACUUAUAGAUGGAUCCGCGCCGCAUUAGCUAGUUGGUAAGGUAACGGCUUACCAAGGCAACGAUGCGUAGCCGACCCUGAGAGGGUGAUCGGCCACACUGGAACUGAGACACGGUCCAGACUCCUACGGGAGGCAGCAGAG